CAGGGAAUAUUGCACAAUGGGCGAAAGCCUGAUGCAGCGACGCCGCGUGGGGGAUGAAGGCCCUAGGGUCGUAAACCCCUUUCAGUGGGGACGAAAAUGACGGUACCCAUAGAAGAAGCCCCGGCCAACUACGUGCCAGCAGCCGCGGUAAGACGUAGGGGGCGAGCGUUGUCCGGAUUUAUUGGGCGUAAAGAGCUCGUAGGCGGUUGCGUAAGUCGGAUGUGAAAACUCAGGGCUCAACCCUGAGACGCCAUCCGAUACUGCGCUGACUUGAAUCCAGUAGGGGAGUGUGGAAUUCCUGGUGUAGCGGUGAAAUGCGCAGAUAUCAGGAGGAACACCUAUGGCGAAGGCAGCACUCUGGGCUGGUAUUGACGCUGAGGAGCGAAAGCGUGGGUAGCAAACAGGAUUAGAUACCCCCGUAGUCC
rnacentral:rRNA from 1 species